UACGUAGGGUGCAAGCGUUAACCGGAAUUACUGGGCGUAAAGCGUGCGCAGGCGGCUUUGCAGGACAGAUGUGAAAUCCCCGGGCUUAACCUGGGAACUGCAUUUGUGACUGCAAGGCUGGAGUGCGGUAGAGGGGGAUGGAAUUCCGCGUGUAGCAGUGAAAUGCGUAGAUAUGCGGAGGAACACCGAUGGCGAAGGCAAUCCCCUGGGCCUGCACUGACGCUCAUGCACGAAAGCGUGGGGAGCAAACAGG
rnacentral:rRNA from 1 species